CUUAUAUAUCCCCACGCAUUCUCCUACACCCCCCUCCUUUAGAAAACCAACAGUCACAUACCCCUAACCUCCAUACCCUCCAAUAUCUCAAUUUCUCUCCUUUGAAGCUCCCUUACCGUCGUCGCCUUCAUUGUUAUGCCUCUUUGAAGCUUGUUCGAGUUUGUUAUGUUCAAUCAUUGUUCGUCAUUGUCAUCUUCCUUGAGCUCGUUCGAGAUCUCCGUCAGCAUCACUUGCGAUCUUCAAACAAUAUUAGAUUUGCAGAAAGUGACCUUCGCACUGACACUUAUGAGGAUAUAGAGAUUAGAGAGGGUAUUGAGGCCGACAUAGGCGAACACUUCAGUAGUAUGCACAUAGCGGAGGAGGAAGACUUUCCGAUGAUUUACGUUUUUGUAUUUAGUUGUAUUUUGUUAUUCAACAUCGCGAUGUGUAGCUAUGAUGAUUUAAAUUUGGUUCAUUAUAUAUUUUCGCCUUAUCUAUA